UCAGUCGACUCCUACGGGGAGGCAGCAGUGGGGAAUAUUGCACAAUGGGGGAAACCCUGAUGCAGCCAUGCCGCGUGUGUGAAGAAGGACCUUCCGGGUUGUAAAGCACUUUCAGUAGGGAGGAAGGUAGUGUAGUUAACACCUGCAUUAUUUGACGUUACCUACAGAAGAAGCACCGGCUAACUCCGUGCCAGCAGCCGCGGUAAUACGGAGGGUGCGAGCGUUAAUCGGAAUUACUGGGCGUAAAGCGCAUGCAGGCGGCCUGUUAAGUCAGAUGUGAAAGCCCGGGGGCUUAACCUCGGAAUUGCAUUUGAAACUGGCAGGCUAGAGUCUUGUAGAGGGGGGGUAGGAAUUUCAGGUGUAGCGGUGAAAUGCGUAGAGAUCUGAAGGAAUACCAGUGGCGAAGGCGGCCCCCUGGACAAAGACUGACGCUCAGACUGCGAAAGCGUGGGGAGCCAAACAGGAUUAGAUACCCCUGGUAG
rnacentral:rRNA from 1 species